UGCACCAGAGACUAUGAGGGGAUUUGUCCCCUUAAUGAACAUUUAUUGAGCAGUGACCUUGUGCCAGGCACUCUUCUGAACGUCGGCAAUCCGAAGAUAAAUACAUCAUGAUCUUUAUCCCCCGGGGGCUCAUUACCAAGUGAGAAAGACGGAUUAGACGUUUCAACAGCAGCUAGCAUUCAACAGACACUACUCAAUUGAAAAUGUGUACGAAGUCCGUGGCUGUAAGGAGGGAGCACUCUGACUGUCGGACAGCCCAGGAGGACAUGUCCAUAGCUGGUGACAUUUGAAUCAAUCCUUGAAGGAAGAGGAACCUACCAGAUGGAGAAAUGGCAACACUGUUCAAGAAGAUGGAGCUGAGCAUUUGCUCAGCUGGCAGAGUGCUUACCCACCACGCGCAAUGUCCUAGGUUGAACUUAGUGUGGCGGUGCUUCCUGUAAUCCCAGUACUCAGGGCGUGUAGGAGGAUCAGAAAUUCAAGGCCACCGUCAGAGACUUCAGGAUUUCUCAGCAUUCCAGUCUGUAGCUACACUUGGGACAUGCCAACUCAGGAUUCACAGUGGAUUGCUUGCCUCAGAGCCUUCUCUCUGGAAAGACCUCCUCCAUGUUUCUGCGCCAUCUUCAAUCCCAAGAAGACAAUCAUCAGACAAUGGGCCGAGCCUGAAGGAAAGGACAGAGUGCUCGGCUGCAGACGCUGCCUCCGAACAGAGCAAUCAGGCUUCAUUCAUUCUCCUUCUCAGCUCAUUAUGUCAGCCUUUAUUAUACAAAACUGUCAAUUCCAUGGCACAGUGACAGAAAAAUAUUUGGAACAAUUCAUGAGAUAUGUUUACCACACCGGCUAGCAGGAAAGAAAUGAGCUAAAAGGAAUUUGCUGAAGAAUAUUCUCAGCCUUAGGUGUUCACUGACGGGUUCAUACAUCUGCUUAGGAAGGAGCAGCUCCUGGCUCUUGAGUGUGCUUUGGAAAAUGCAGUGUG